UGUGCAUCUCUCCCUAGCUUUGCUGGAUGGACAGGCCGGUGAACCUUCCACAGGAACGACAGAGGAAGACGCCCCAUUUUUCACCAGGGUGGUGUCCCUGCUGGAAGGGGAUGGCAAUCCCCUGGCAAGCCCGUGUGAUGGCCUUGACGUGGACAGCACAGAGGGAGAGUCCCCAUUUUUCACCAAGGUGGUGGUCCUGCUGGAAAGGGAGAAUGAUACUGUGUCUAAGAAUGCAACUGGCCUUCUCCCAGGGGAAAUUACACAUCCACCACUGGUCCUAGCUGGGGCUCUCAGAGGUGGGCCCAA